rnacentral:tRNA from 2 species
CGGGGCGUGGCGCAGCACGGCUAGCGCGCCUGCUUUGGGAGCAGGAGGUCCCGAGUUCAAAUCUCGGCGCCCCGA